UACGGGGGGAGCAAGCGUUGUUCGGAAUUACUGGGCGUAAAGGGCGCGUAGGCGGCCUUCUAAGUCGAACGUGAAAUCCCCGGGCUCAACCCGGGAACUGCGUCCGAUACUGGAAGGCUUGAAUCCGGGAGAGGGAUGCGGAAUUCCAGGUGUAGCGGUGAAAUGCGUAGAUAUCUGGAGGAACACCGGUGGCGAAGGCGGCAUCCUGGACCGGCAUUGACGCUGAGGCGCGAAAGCCAGGGGAGCAAACGGGG
rnacentral:rRNA from 1 species